ensembl:lncRNA
ACCAUCAUCCAACUCACUUCCCAUCAAUGCUAGGUGGAGUGGAAGGCAGUAAGGAAAGAGGAAGACCCAAAGCGAGAUGGAGCCUUCUACAUGGACACAAACUGCCCACUUCUGAGUUUAGUGGUGGCUCCAAACCUUCUGGCAUAACAGCUCUCUUUUGAGUCCAAGAAAUCAUCAGGACUCCUCGCCUCUUUUUUUUAACCAUCAUCCAACUCACUUCCCAUCAAUGCUAGGUGGAGUGGAAGGCAGUAAGGAAAGAGGAAGACCCAAAGCGAGAUGGAUUGAUUUAAGGGUUUAGUGGUGGCUUUAAACCUUCUGGCAUAACAGCUCUCUUUCGAGUCCAAGAAAUCAUCACGACUCCUCGCCUCUUUUUUUUACCAUCAUCCAACUCACUUCCCACCAAUGCUAGGCGGAGUGGAAGGCCGUAGGGAAAGAGGAAGACCCAAAGCAAGAUGGAUUGACUUAAGGAAACCCCAGGCUUGAGUUUGCAAGCGUUGUGAAGAGCUCGUGACUCAGACUUUAAUUUGCAAGCGUUGGAAGGCAGUAGGGAAAGAGGAAGACCCAAAGCGAGAUGGAUUGAUUUAAGGAAACCCCGGACUUUAAUUUGCAAGCGUUGUGAAGAGCUCGUGACUCACUGGAAGGUCAUUAAUUAAUCAAUUAAUUUUGCUUUAAGGAAGCGUGUUUAGAGCACAAUUCACGCAAGUGUUUUUUUUUCCACAUCCGCUUAUUUCUUUUGCUCUGAUGCACACCUCGAAGGGUUAACUCUAGAGAGAGGGCUCCUUCCUAGAGAGGCCCGGGACGCUUGCGAGAGGGGGGUUUAAAUACGAGAUGCACCUUCCUGUUCUGCUUGUACCUACCCCAGAGAGGGGGGAAAGAAAAUUGCCUUCCGAAUUUCCCAGGAGUGGUGUUUGCAAGGGCGAGGAGGAGGAGGAGGCGUGCAUGCAAGCAAGCAAAAGAGGGGGGGUUCCCACAGCUUCUUCCCAGCUUCCGCCGUCUGAGACUACUGCCCCGCUCUGCCUAACAGGAGGACCAUCCCUGCCUGCUUCUUUGGACCUCUUAUCCUCCCAGAAGCAUCUUCUCCUGAGUUGCCUCCAGCUGCUUCAUAAGAUAGAAAAUCUGUUCGGCCUGUUUGAAGGAUGGUGCCGUGACCCGAGCACUUAUUUGAAAAUCUUGCACUCCCCUCCUGAAUAAAAAUCUAAUGGAAAACCGCUGCGUCUGCUGAUCAUAUUGCGAAGGCAGAGCUGAGGUAAAGCCGGGCCCACAGGUUUACAGGGAGAAGUUGUUUCGUAGUCCCAGGUUCAGCUGUGAUCAGAGUCUUCUUGCCAUUUUGUAGUG